AAAAAAAAAAAAAAAAAAAAAAAAAAUUGGGAGGACAGCCCAGGGCUUCCCACAGAGUCAUGGACCCAGCAGUGCCUUGAGUCCAAUGCCUCAGUCCAGGGCAGGAGGUGGGGGCAGUGUGGUCAGAGUAGGCUGUGUCUGUCUUGUCUGCAGGAGGAGGAGUCUCCCUGUGGGGAGGUGACACUGAAACGGGAUCGCUCCUUCUCAGAGCAUGACCUGGCCCAGCUGCGGAGUGAGGCAGCCUGCAGCCUGCAGCCAGCCGCUGCCCCCCAGGAAGGAUCAGGACUGCCUCGGCCCAGGGCAGGCAGCAUGCACACCUGGAGGCCCAGUGCCCGGGACCAGGGCUCCUGUGCUGCUGGUAUUCAGUCCCAGCCUGAUGCUGGUGCCCCUGUGCUCAGCAGUCUGAGCUCUACAUACAGACCUGAGGCCUCUGUGCCAGACACCGGGCACCUGUGGCUGGAGUUCAGUCAUCCUGUGGAGAGUCUGGCCCUGACUGUGGAAGAGGUGGUAGACGUGCGCCGCGUGCUGGUGAAGGCUGAGAUGGAGAAGUUUGUCCAGGACAAGGAGCUUUUCAGCAGCCUGAAGCGGGGGAAGGUUUGCUGCUGCUGCAGGGCCCGGUUCUCGCUGUUCACCUGGCCACCGAUUUGUCUCUUCUGCAAGAGGUGAGCCUCACAUGGCAUGGAGGCCACAUGUGAGUGAGGUUGGGCCAGGGCGAUGUGCCAGAUGCCUGUGAUUGUGGCAAUGUCUUAUCACACACUACAGCUAUGGGUGGAGUCUUUCAGUGCCAUUGGGGAAUCGAUUUUUUUUUUUCAGUUCAGAGGUGUUUUAUUUUAUACCUAUUAUGCUGUGAAUUUUUUUGUACCAGGGAUCGAACUCGAGACCUUGUGCUUGUGAGCCAGGCAGUGGAACCACUGAGCUAAAUCCCCAGCCCUAUUAUGCCAUGAAUUUAGAAGUUCUAGCACUAGGCUCCUUUUUUUUUUUUCUUUUGAGAUAGGGUCUCCCUCAGCAGUAUGUUGCCCAAGCUGGCCUUGAACUUGUGAUCUUCCUGCCUGAGCCUCCCAAGUGGCUGAGAUUAAAGCAUAUGCCAUUGUACCCACCUAGUCUGAAGCCUCCUUUCACAUGGUUUUCUCAGGGGCUUAGAAUAUAACUGAGUGGCAGAGCACUCGCCUAUCAUGCAUGAAGCCCUGGGUUUGAUCCAUAGCACCACAAAUAACAACAACAACAACAACAAUACACACACACACACGCACACACACACACACAUAUACCAAUAAUGUCCUCACUAGGGUAGUUCUCUGGGUGGAGCAGGCUGGACUUCAGUUGAGUGUAGGACCUUUUUCUAUGGCUUUUUUCUGAUUUUUUUCCCCCUGGUACUGGGGAUCAAACUCAGGACGUUACACUUGCCAGGCAGGCACCAUGCCACUGAGCUACAUCCUAGGCUCUUUUUCUGAUUGUCCUGGAAGCCACCUUGACUCCUGAGCUUGAUGUGUUCAGCACAUGUGCAAAUUCUCUUGGAGAAUCUUGCCCUUAAUCCAUUUGCUGACAGCAGUGGUGACAAUGUGGGGUGACACAUUGACUCUCCCAGCUUUACCAGGGUGACAUAUGCAGGGCCUCAAUUUCUCCAGUGUCACCUUUCUUGGAGAUCUGCAUGUAUGGGGCCAAAGAAACAAUCCCAUGUUUUCUCAGAGGCCUAGAAGAUGUGUGUCAGGUGCCUCUCUACUUCCCCUUUUGUGAUAGCCAUUUUGGCAAAUUCCUGGAAGAUGGUGGUGCCAGCCAAAGUAAAUGCUGAGAACUGGAAUUUUAAGUGUUAAGUUAAUUUAAAUAGCUAAGGAACUCCCACUUUCAGCCAAGAUGGAGUAACAGGGACAUGCAGCUGAAAUAGCCAAAAACCCAAAACACAAAGAUAUGAAACAGUGGUUUUCAAGACACUGGCCAUCAGCAGCCCUAGGAAGCAGGCCAGGAGCCCAUGUCAGCCUGGAGAGUGUCCAGCACACGGACAUGAAAGGCCAGGGCACUGGAGCUCUCUGGGAAAGUUCCAGAGGAGACUGAGGCACAGAGGUCCUUGGAGACUGGCCUCAGAGGAGCCUGCUGAGCACUCUGCAGCAUAACGAGAGGAAAUUAUGAAAAGACUCAUUGGUUAAGAAGCUACUGUUCUGAGCCAGGUGUGGUGGCACCCGCCUGUAAUCCCAGCACUCAGGAGGCUGAGGCAGGAGGAUCAA
rnacentral:lncRNA from 1 species